rnacentral:rRNA from 1 species
UUGAUCCCAUGGCUCAGAUUGAACGCUGGCGGCAGGCCUAACACAUGCAAGUCGAGCGGAUGACAGGAGCUUGCUCCUGAAUUCAGCGGCGGACGGGUGAGUAAUGCCUAGGAAUCUGCCUGGUAGUGGGGGACAACGUUUCGAAAGGAACGCUAAUACCGCAUACGUCCUACGGGAGAAAGCAGGGGACCUUCGGGCCUUGCGCUAUCAGAUGAGCCUAGGUCGGAUUAGCUAGUUGGUGAGGUAAUGGCUCACCAAGGCGACGAUCCGUAACUGGUCUGAGAGGAUGAUCAGUCACACUGGAACUGAGACACGGUCCAGACUCCUACGGGAGGCAGCAGUGGGGAAUAUUGGACAAUGGGCGAAAGCCUGAUCCAGCCAUGCCGCGUGUGUGAAGAAGGUCUUCGGAUUGUAAAGCACUUUAAGUUGGGAGGAAGGGCAGUAACUUAAUACGUUGCUGUCUUGACGUUACCGACAGAAUAAGCACCGGCUAA